GAUGAACGCUGGCGGCGUGCCUAACACAUGCAAGUCGAACGAAGCACCUUUUAAGAUUCUUCGGAUGAUUGAUUGGUGACUGAGUGGCGGACGGGUGAGUAACGCGUGGGUAACCUGCCCUGUACAGGGGGAUAACAGUUGGAAACGGCUGCUAAUACCGCAUAAGCGCACGAGAGGACAUCCUCUUGUGUGAAAAACUCCGGUGGUACAGGAUGGGCCCGCGUCUGAUUAGCUGGUUGGCAGGAUAACGGCCUACCAAGGCGACGAUCAGUAGCCGGUCUGAGAGGAUGAACGGCCACAUUGGAACUGAGACACGGUCCAAACUCCCACGGGAGGCAGCAGUGGGGAAUAUUGCACAAUGGGGGAAACCCCGAUGCAGCAACGCCGCGUGAGUGAAGAAGUAUUUCGGUAUGUAAAGCUCUAUCAGCAGGGAAGAUAAUGACGGUACCUGACUAAGAAGCUCCGGCUAAAUACGUGCCAGCCGCCGCGGUAA
rnacentral:rRNA from 1 species